rnacentral:rRNA from 1 species
CCUACGGGAGGCAGCAGUGGGGGAAUCUUGCGCAAUGGGCGAAAGCCUGACGCAGCCAUGCCGCGUGAAUGAUGAAGGUCUUAGGAUUGUAAAAUUCUUUCACCGGGGACGAUAAUGACGGUACCCGGAGAAGAAGCCCCGGCUAACUUCGUGCCAGCAGCCGCGGUAAUACGAAGGGGGGCUAGCGUUGCUCGGAAUUACUGGGCGUAAAGGGAGCGUAGGCGGAUAGUUUAGUCAGAGGUGAAAGCCCAGGGCUCAACCUUGGAAUUGCCUUUGAUACUGGCUAUCUUGAGUAUGGGAGAGGUUAGCGGAACUCCGAGUGUAGAGGUGAAAUUCGUAGAUAUUCGGAAGAACACCAGUGGCGAAGGCGGCUAACUGGCCCAUUACUGACGCUGAGGCUCGAAAGCGUGGGGAGCAAACAGGAUUAGAUACCCUGGUAGUCCACGCCGUAAACGAUGAGUGCUAGUUGUCGGCAUGCAUGCAUGUCGGUGACGCGAGCUACGACAUUAAGACACUCCGCCGUCGGGAGGUACGGUCGCGAGAGUUAAACUAACGUAAGAAGUUAGAGUGUUGAGAGNGCGACGGCGACGACGAGGGAGAGG